rnacentral:rRNA from 1 species
GACGAACGCUGGCGGCGUGCUUAACACAUGCAAGUCGAACGGAAAGGCCCUGCUUGCAGGGUGCUCGAGUGGCGAACGGGUGAGUAACACGUGGGUGAUCUGCCCCUUACUUUGGGAUAAGCCUGGGAAACUGGGUCUAAUACUGGAUAGGACCAUGCUGUAGGUGGUGUGGUGGAAAGAUUAGUUUCGGUAAGGGAUGAGCUCGCGGCCUGUCAGCUUGUUGGUGGGGUAAUGGCCUACCAAGGCGUCGACGGGUAGCCGGCCUGAGAGGGUGGACGGCCACAUUGGGACUGAGAUACGGCCCAGACUCCUACGGGAGGCAGCAGUGGGGAAUAUUGCACAAUGGGCGCAAGCCUGAUGCAGCGACGCCGCGUGGGGGAUGACGGCCUUCGGGUUGUAAACUCCUUUCAGCCAUGACGAAGCCCUUGUGGUGACGGUAGUGGUAGAAGAAGCACCGGCUAACUACGUG